rnacentral:rRNA from 1 species
GCCAGACUCCUACGGGAGGCAGCAGUGGGGAAUAUUGCACAAUGGGGGAAACCCUGAUGCAGCGACGCCGCGUGAAGGAAGAAGUAUUUCGGUAUGUAAACUUCUAUCAGCAGGGAAGAAAAUGACGGUACCUGACUAAGAAGCCCCGGCUAACUACGUGCCAGCAGCCGCGGUAAUACGUAGGGGGCAAGCGUUAUCCGGAUUUACUGGGUGUAAAGGGAGCGUAGGCGGCGAUGCAAGUCAGAAGUGAAAGCCCGGGGCUCAACUCCGGGACUGCUUUUGAAACUGUGUUGCUAGAUUGCAGGAGAGGUAAGUGGAAUUCCUAGUGUAGCGGUGAAAUGCGUAGAUAUUAGGAGGAACACCAGUGGCGAAGGCGGUCUGCUGGACAGCAACUGACGCUGAGGCGCGAAAGCGUGGGGAGCAAACAGGAUUAGAUACCCGGGUAC